GCCGUGGCCUAGCUGAGGGACUACUCCGAUUUACAGUGGCGCGACCGCUCCGGUUUUGCACCGGAUUCCUGC
rnacentral:sRNA from 1 species